AAAAAAAAAAAAAAAAAAACCCAAAGUUUGCAGUAAUAUUAAUAUUAGACUUACAAAAUAUACCUAUUUUCAUCGAUUGUGUGUUUAUCACUGCGAAGAAUUUGUACCUUUGGCUGAAGAAGACCAAGUGACACGCAUGUCUCCGUUGGGUUUAAACAAGCAAGCUUUUAUUGAUAUGGCCGUGUAUUUCUUGGGUGCGCAGUCUUCAGGCUGCAAAAUAAAAUAAAGAUUUACGUUUUUGAUAGGCAUACGAACGAGCUGGAAUAACGUUCCCAAUUUGCAAGAAAUCCAUUAGCCUCUUCUUAACCAUGAGAUUGAUAAUCUUUAUGAAUACAGACAUUAGCGAAAUUAGUCUGAAGUUACUUAAAUCAUUUAAGCUUUUACCUGUCUUAGAGAGGGGAACUGCUUUCAUACAUCGCAAAUCUAAGUAACUAGACCAAUAGUUAUUAAUUGCAUGCAAAAGGAUAGUUAAGCUUCCUCCAGACAGUGCUCUAAUUAUGUCCUACUUAUCUUCAUCACAACUUGCAGCAGCAGCCUUCUUUCUGGAAUGUAACAUAUGCAUUAACCCAAGCAAUGAAAAGACGUAACUGGAAACUUUAACUUCAAAAAAAUUGUCAUCCCUUAGAAAAACUUUGCUUAAUAUGCAGAAAUCAAUAUUAGACGAGUUCAUGUAAAAAUCCAGAAAUGAUAAGUUACGUCGAACACUUUGAGUAUUAUAUUGUAAAAACCAACCCAUAUUUUAACUAAAAACGGAACCCCAGAGGAUUUACUCGUAGUACUAGGCGUUUGAUCGUAGCGAGAAUUAGACAUCUGUAACGUCUACGCACAAAAGUAGCGUACGGGUUCUGUCCACUGCUAUAUCGCAAUAGAGUAAGUGUGAUCGUAAUAACGGCCUUGUUCGAGAGCACAUUUGGCAAGAAUAACGGUUUGCCGAAAAAUGUUUUCUUGUUUUGGAGAUUUGCGAAAUAACAACUGAAGCGUGAGAAUUACUAAAAUAAUAAGAAAAAAGAUUUUAAUUCAUCGAAAAUAAAUAAUGUAAACAAAAAAUUAUUUGAAAAAAAAACGAUAUUUUUUUUUAAAAAACAAAUGCUUGUGAAGUAUUAAUCAUCAGGCAUUUUUGGGUGAGAAUUCAGCUUUAGUCAAAUUAGAUAAUCUAAUUAAACCUGCUUCGCUGCAACCGGCUGGAAAUAUAUCUGCCUACAAUCCGUUCAGCGAUACUAUUAUUCCAUCAAAAUCAAACCUUUUUCAACAACAACAACCUUCCCGACCAUCCAGGAAUCAACUAAAGCAACAACCCUUUGCUGUAAACAUGAGCCAAGAUACGUGGACACCUGUCGCUAAUUCAAAUCUAGGAACAAAUAAGGAAGGAGAUUGUAGCAUCGAGUUCAUUCUUGUCAUAAAUAUAUAAAUGAUAAUGGAUGGUAUACAGACAAAAAGAAAAUGGUCUGAAGAUUAUGAUGCACAUGUGGCCGUCUAUUCUGUUCAUUUUGUCAAAUGAUGGUUGCAUCCGGUGUGCAGUAGCCUGUUGAUGAAAUUGAUGAGAUUGCGGUCAAGACUGUGAUGGGUAAACUAUGUUUGAUGGUUAUUUGCAGGAGAGUAUUUUCUAUGAAACGAAUCAUCGCAUCGCUGUUGCCAGUUACAAAUUUCAUGUUGUUUGUCGAAAGUCUUUAAGAAAUUAAAGUCCAAUCGCCGAUACCCUUAUAGGUGAUGUGUUAGAGUAAUUGUUAACAAGUUUUAGACCUUAACAAUGAUUAAACAAACAAGUAAGAAAAUGACAUUCGUACUAGCCGAAUCUUUUUAUCCCUUUUUAUUUUGAAAGGGAUUUAAAAAAGGAAACGGAAUGGGGAAUUUGUAUAAUUUACGUUAUAGGAUCGUGAUGGCUGAUUUUAUCGAUUUUUGUAGAAUAUACAUGUGUUGACCAGUUUAUGAAUAAUGAGAAAAAACACAGAAAUUAGAGGUGUUAUUACUAUAUCCUGCAAUGUGGGAAAGGAAAAUGAAUAUAGAAUAGAAUAAAUAUCACAGACUUCACAGAGAUGGACAGACGAACACAUUGACAUGUUUAGGUGUAUUCCGGAUUUGACAGUGGUCAACAAUACAUUAAAUAUAAUUAAUGUUGUCUCUGAAACUUCCUUCUGAACUACGGUUUUGACAAAAAGGGUAACCUAAGAAAUAGUCCGAAUAGUUAGACAUUUUCCAAUGUCCUUUAAACAGAAUAUGCAUGCCAAAUUUUAUAUGUUGUAGUUUAUGAGCAAUGAAGAAAAACAAUUGGUUUUUGCUUUUAAAAACAAAGGAUUUCUCAGUUUAAGUGGUGCAUGGCGUCUUUUCCGAUCGAUUUGAUGUGGAAGAGCUUCCAAAUAUUUUAUAUAAGUACAAGUUUAAAACGAUUCAGAAUUUGAUACUGAUCAACUAUAUACAUCAUUUGUGGGGCUCUGAAGCUGUUGAGUGCACAGCUCCUCAUUUUUCUAUUGUGGAUAUAUAAAGUACAUUCAAAUGCUUACGUAAUUAUACCCUACACCACUUGUGGUACGUGGUAUAUUAAGUUUAUGAGGGCGUAUGUAAUACUCGGAAGGGCUUCUGAUCGACCCACUUUUGAUUAUACCGAUCCAUUAAGAAAAUGAUUCUGUUCGUCUAAUGUCUGCCUCUGUAUUUUUGUUCAACCCACAGAUCACAAUUUUUGGGAUAUUUUGAUAAAACUUAGCAUACUGACGUGGUUUGGCCAUUAAAAAGCGUUCGUAUUGGUUCCCUUUUUCGACGACUCCCAUGUAAUGUCUUAUUUUGCAACGUCAUUUCAAAACGUGCCUGCGAAGACUGAAUCAUUGUAUGGAAAAAUAUCAAACUUUUUUUAUUUCUAUUUCUAUCUAUAAUGUCCAAUUUUUUCUACGGAGGGAAAGAUGUCUCUAAGCGUUUAAGGCUUAACCGCAGGAUGCUUCAUAGCGCACGAAGGACGCAAACGCACACUGAACGCUCCAAGGAUGGUAAGUCCACGAAUGGACUUGUGGACGCGAAGAUACAUAUACGGGUGUGCCUCCGCGUAUCUAAAACCUCCGCCUUUUUUUGGGUGAAACAACUUUGCAAUUUUGCAAUUCCACAAGGCUACUUCCGCGUUUUGGAUUUCCCACAGACACCACGAAACUCUCAAUGCCCAGACAGUCAGUAACAGUCAAAUAAACUAUUGAGAAGCCAGUCAAAGCAGCGCUUAGAAGUGCUGCCAAAACCUCGUCAAAUACGCCGGUGAUUGAAGAAAAGACAAGAUGCAAACGCCACGACUCCUACGGCCUCUAAGUCUCUGAAUGCAGAGUACUCGGGGACAUAUAGGCAAGUCCUAUUUUCAAAACGGCCUUUUUCAUGCAAAAAUGUGUAGUCCGUAAGUAGAAACCCGAGACGUAAGCUAACGCUAAACCUCGGGUGACCGUAGGCCACGAUAAAUCUGCCCUACCACAUUCAUAAGUUUGCCCUUAACCUUGUCAAGGUGUGGAAAAAACUUGUCCUUAUCAUUCAUGGUAAUAUCUAGGUACUUGACUUUUGCCUCGUACCUAAGACCAAUCUCAUUCACUUUGACCACUGCAGGUCUGCCAGACUAACCUUUCAUUAUCAGUUUUCUCUAAUGAGACAUCGACACCAACACUAUGUCCCCAAGCAUUAAUUACUCUCAUAACGCCUCCACCGCUUUCUUCAAUUACUUUCCGAACUCUACUUUUCACCAGGAUGAUCACGUCGUCUGCAUACGUAGACAAGCUAAGUAUUCCAUUUACUUCUCCGCAAAUGUUUUCUAGGUGCCUUAAUAAAUGAUUUGUUAUAAUGUUCCAUAUAAAUGGUCCACUGAUAAAUUCUUGUGCUAAGUACAAUAUCGUUUAUACCCACAACACAAGGACGUCUUUGAGAGAAGUAGCUUGUGCAGAGUUUAAUUUUCAGGCAAUUUUUCAGUCUGGCAAGUACUUCUCUCCCCCUCUAGAAAUUUUCCAAAGAGAAACUGGGAGGAGAACGAUGCCCCGAUAAAACCAAGGAUCGCUCCUAGUCUUUCAAGAUGACUAAAGAAAAACUAUGACAUUUGUUAUUUUCCAAUGUAAUGGAAAGUGACCUUAAGACAGACACUGAGAAUAAAUCAUAUAUUCAAGAAUAACCUUCCAGAUCGUUUUAGCCAUCUUCUCCAUUACUUCGCCAACGCAUGGGGAUCUUUUUGAUCUAACUUUCGAAAUUGAAUACCCAAUUUCAUUCUUCUCCAAGGGAGACGGAGGAGACAUAAAACCAAUAUUGGGAAGCACAGCAUCAUCCCGCCCAAGGAAGAAUGUGCCCAUUAACGAGUGCAGACACUCUUUCCAGUUGGAUGGUACCCCAUUUGAAGUACGAAUACCUUCUUCCUCUGAUACCACGUAAAUCUGACCCCAAGGAUCGUAACGAUUUCGGGGCACAAAGUUUCUCCAGUUGUCCUCUUUGGUCUUCAUAAGCAUGCGCUUAUAGUUAUUUAGGCAUUGCCUCAAUUCGACUCUUAGCUGAACAUCAUUCACGGCAUUUUCACCCACUCGAACGGUCUGUCUUUUCUUGGACAGUCUACGUGUCCACCAAUUCAUCUCUCUUUGAUUUGCGUUGCGGCAUCUCUCGAAGAACAAGUCUUUGACACUCCAGACAUGAGCGGAUAAAACUGCAGAGCCGGCUCUUCAUAGAUCCUGAGCGCCCACCGACAACUGAAGACGUCAAAUCGCUCCAACGGACAUUCAAAUAAAUCACUGUCGUUAUUCGACACAUCGGACAAACUGCGGUGACGUUCUCCACAACUCUUUUCAACUAAGCCAGCCUUCUGGCCCCCCUUCGCAACACAUCAUCGUCGGACGACAUCAUUUCUACAUCGAACGAUCUCCCCACACACUCUUCAAACCUUUCUUAUUCUUCUUACCCUUUCCGACCAUUGUGCACUAGUUAUGAGAUAUAUUCAAAUAUUUCACACAAUGCACUUCAUAUAAUAAAUAAGGCGAACUGUUUGAAUUCAAGUUAUAUAUGAUUAAAUAUAGAAGAAAAUAAUGACACCCCAACAAUUGGACAAGCGAUAGGCACCUCUUCAUUUGUCUACUCUCCAACAAAUAACGCCGGCAACUAAGCAGCAGCUCAACAAUGAAUAAAAGUGCACUCGUUCCAAAUUUAACGAAACAAUAGACCUAACAUCACACAUCCGUAUAUAUUAUCACUUGUGUAUAUUAUCAAUGAAAACCUUAAAAAAGGCUAAACCAAAAUGGGCCAAUCAAUUUAUGCAUGUAUGCUAUUUAGCCUUGUCAAAAGCUAAAACUCACUUAUAAUGAUCAACUUUUUUACGCUUAUAUUGUUUGUGUAAAAUUGUAUGCUAAACGUUUUAAUGGCUAUAUAGUUGUAUAACACUGCCCGCACAAAAUAACACAUCCGUUCACUUCAAUUGACAACAAUCGAAUGACUAUGGAGGGAAAGUCUAAUUUCUGCUUUUUUAUGAUGGAGAGUGGAAAAUAGUAAAAUUUUUAGAAAGUAAAUCAAGUUUGUUAAAUUUGGAUGUAAGGUUUUUGGUUUAUUGUUACCAAAGCGAAUGAAAAACUGUAUUAGACGAAGUUACAUAGAGUAUCUAUAUAUUAUGUUCUUAUUUGUUUUUUACAUAAGCUAAAGGUUGAAAAAACUUUCUUUCACUUUAUAAAAAAUUUGAAACCGUCAAUUGUCUAUUGCAUGGUUGUAGAUUAUUGAAAUUUUUUCUUUCGUGAAAACUUCUGCAUAAUAUAAAAAACCGCUUCACAAGCAGAAAAUACAUAUUUUUUUGAUCUGCGUCUAAGCCUGAAUUCAUCUACCUAUAUCUGCCUUUCCGUCAACAUUAACUUACUUUCUCUUCUUAAUUAGAAUGUCGUCCAGAAAAACCGCAA